UACGUAGGGCGCAAGCGUUGUCCGGAAUUAUUGGGCGUAAAGAGCUCGUAGGCGGCCUGUCGCGUCCGCUGUGAAAUCCCGGGGCUUAACCCCGGGCGUGCAGUGGAUACGGGCUGGCUAGAGGCAGGCAGGGGAGAACGGAAUUCCCGGUGUAGCGGUGAAAUGCGCAGAUAUCGGGAGGAACACCGGUGGCGAAGGCGGUUCUCUGGGCCUGUUCUGACGCUGAGGCACGAAAGCGUGGGGAGCGAACAGG
rnacentral:rRNA from 1 species